GACGAACGCUGGCGGCGUGCCUAAUACAUGCAAGUCGAGCGCAGGAAACUGACGGAACUCUUCGGAGGGAAGGCAGUGGAAUGAGCGGCGGACGGGUGAGUAACACGUAAGGAACCUGCCUCAAGGAUUGGGAUAACUCCGAGAAAUCGGAGCUCAUACCGGAUAGUUCAACGGACCGCAUGGUCCGCUGAUGAAAGGCGCUCCGGCGUCACCUUGAGAUGGCCUUGCGGUGCAUUAGCUAGUUGGUGGGGUAACGGCCCACCAAGGCGACGAUGCAUAGUCGAGCUGAGAGGGUGAUCGGCCACACUGAGACUGAGACACGGCCCAGGCUCCUACGGGAGGCAGCCGUAGGGAAUCUUCCACAAUUGACGAAUGUCUGAUGGAGCAACGCCGCGUGAGUGAUGAAGGUUUUCGGAUCGUAAAACUCUGUUGUAAGGGAAGAACACGUGCGAAAGGGAAUGCUCGUACCUUGACGGUACCUUACGAGAAAGCCACGGCUAACUACGUGCCAGCAGCCGCAGUAAAAC
rnacentral:rRNA from 1 species